UACGAGGGGGGCAAGCGUUGUUCGGAAUUAUUGGGCGUAAAGGGCGCGUAGGCGGCGCGGAUAGUCGGCGGUGAAAGCCCGGAGCUCAACUCCGGGUCGGCCGUCGAUACUUCCGGGCUUGAGCACUGUAGAGGCAGAUGGAAUUCCGGGUGUAGCGGUGGAAUGCGUAGAGAUCCGGAAGAACACCGGUGGCGAAGGCGGUCUGCUGGGCAGUUGCUGACGCUGAUGCGCGACAGCGUGGGGAGCAAACAGG
rnacentral:rRNA from 1 species